GGUUGAUCCUGCCAGUAGUCAUAUGCUUGUCUCAAAGAUUAAGCCAUGCAUGUCUAAGUAUAAAUAACUACACAGUAAAACUGCGAAUGGCUCAUUAAAACAGUUAUAGUUUAUUUGAUACAUUAAAUGGAUAACUGUAGAAAAACUAGAGCUAAUACAUGCCAAGACCGCAAGGUUGUAUUUAUUAGAUAUACCAAGUGGGUGAAUCAUAAUAACUUUUCAAAUCGCGGCCUCGCCGCGAUAAAUCAUUCAAGUUUCUGCCCUAUCAUGCUUUCGAUGGUAGUGUAUUGGA
rnacentral:rRNA from 1 species